GGGCGGCUGGCCUAAUGGUAAGGCGCUAGAUUUCGGCUCUAGAGAUUGCAGGUUCGAUCCCUGCGUCGCUCG
rfam:Aspergillus parasiticus ST-1 617, whole genome shotgun sequence.